rnacentral:rRNA from 1 species
UUUCCGGUUGAUCCCGCCGGACCUGACUGCUAUCGGAUUGAUACUAAGCCAUGUGAGUCAUUGUAGCAAUACAAGGCAGACGGCUCAGUAACACGUAGCCAACUUACCCUAUGGACGGGGAUAACCUCGGGAAACUGAGGAUAAACCCCGAUAGACCAUUAUGCCUGGAACGGUUUAUGGUUGAAACGAUUCGUCGCCGUAGGAUGGGACUGCGGCCUAUCAGCUUGUUGGUGAGGUAAUGGCCCACCAAGGCUAUUACAGGUACGGGCUCUGAGAGGAGAAGCCCGGAGAUGGGUACUGAGACACGGACCCAGGCCCUAUGGGGCGCAGCAGGCGAGAAAACUUUGCAAUGUGCGCAAGCACGACAAGGUUAAUCCGAGUGUUUCCUGCUAAAGGAAUCUUUUGUUAGUCGUAAAACCACUAGUGAAUAAGGGGUGGGCAAGUUCUGGUGUCAGCCGCCGCGGUAAAACCAGCACCUCAAGUGGUCAGGAGGAUUAUUGGGCCUAAAGCAUCCGUAGCCUGCUCUAUAAGUUUCCGGUUAAAUCCAUUGGCUUAACUAAUGGGCUGCCGGAAAAACUGUAGAGCUAGGGAGUGGGAGAGGUAGACGGUACUCGGUAGGAAGGGGUAAAAUCCUUUAAUCUAUUGAUGACCACCUGUGGCGAAGGCGGUCUACCAGAACACGUUCGACGGUGAGGGAUGAAAGCUGGGGGAGCAAACCGGAUUAGAUACCCGGGUAGUCCCAGCUGUAAACGAUGCAGACUCGGUGAUGCCCUGGCUAGUGGCCAGUGCAGUGCCGCAGGGAAGCCGUUAAGUUUGCCGCCUGGGAAGUACGUACGCAAGUAUGAAACUUAAAGGAAUUGGCGGGGGAGCACCACAAGGGGUGAAGCCUGCGGUUCAAUUGGAGUCAACGCCGGGA